CCCUGUUGCAGUCAAUAAACAUAGCCAAGUAGGAUAAGGUAAAUUUUUUUUUUUCUCCUUUUUUUUUUUAAUAAAAUUCAUAAGCUUGAUUGAGCUGUCACUGACUCGGAUCUCUCUAUAAUGAUAGUGACACAUGCUUGCAUUUGCUUCCAGAUUGAUGGAAUUCAAAGGCCUGUCUAUAGGGACACAGACAAUAACAACACAAACUUGGUGGUUCUGUCUAAUAGAAGGUACAGGUUUUCACAUGGGUGUCUU
rnacentral:misc_RNA from 1 species